UGUAAACUUCUUUUAUAAAGGAAUAAAGUCGGGUAUGCAUACCCGUUUGCAUGUACUUUAUGAAUAAGGAUCGGCUAACUCCGUGCCAGCAGCCGCGGUAAUACGGAGGAUCCGAGCGUUAUCCGGAUUUAUUGGGUUUAAAGGGAGCGUAGAUGGAUGUUUAAGUCAGUUGUGAAAGUGUGUGGCCCAACCGUAAAAUUGCAGUUGAUACUGGAUAUCUUGAGUGCAGUUGAGGCAGGCGGAAUUCGUGGUGUAGCGGUGAAAUGCUUAGAUAUCACGAAGAACUCCGAUUGCGAAGGCAGCCUGGUAAGCUGCAACUGACAUUGAGGCUAGAAAGUGUGGGUAUCAAACAGGAUUAGAUACCCUGGUAGUCCACACGGUAAACGAUGAAUACUCGCUGUUUGCGAUAUACUGCAAGCGGCCAAGCGAAAGCGUUAAGUAUUCCACCUGGGGAGUACGCCGGCAACGGUCAACUCAAAGGAAUUGACGGA
rnacentral:rRNA from 1 species